AAGAACCUUAUCCUGGAUUUGACAUGCUUGGGAAUCCCCUGGAAACAGGGGAGUGCCCCUCGGGGAGCCCUUGCACAGGUGCUGCAUGGCGGUCGUCAGCUCUUGUUGUGAGAUCUCGGGUUAAGUCCAUCUAACGAGAGGACCUCUUCUCGUUAGUGGCCAUUCGGGUCAUCACGGGGGACUCUAACGAGACCUGACGCUGUUAAACCGGAGGAAGUUGGGGAUUACGUCAAGUCUUAAUGGCAAUAGUGUCGAGGGACGUAUAAGUCUCGUACAAUGGAGUCGGUACCAAGGGAGACCAAUUCGCGAGAGUAAGCGAAUCUCGGAAAGAGGGCCAUAGUGUCGAAGGAUAGCUCCCAAGUUGCCUGCAAGAAGCCGGAAUCGGAUAGUAAUCGCGGGUAACAACACUGCGCCAAUGUGUUCCUGAGGCGUAGUACAACACUGCCUGUGAAGUAAUGACACGUGCGGCCCGUCAGGAGUACCACCGAGGUAACUCCGUGAGGGAGGCAAGACGCCGUCGCAGACUCCGUGAGUGGUCUAAGUCGUAGCUAG
rnacentral:rRNA from 1 species